rnacentral:lncRNA from 1 species
CAGGUAUGUUUGUGGUGAUUAGCUCUUAGAGAAUUUCUUUAGCUUUUUGAAUUUUUUCUUGUGAACAGGGGCCCUUUACCACUUCACUUAUAGAUUGAGCCACAUACCAGUGAAAUUGAUUUUGCUUCAGCAACUGGAUUUUCAGCUUGAGCUGUGGUAGCAUUUGGAGCAGAGUCUGUGCAGAAUAUCAGACAGCAGACUUGAACAACUGCUUGGAUAGGAGCAGAGCCUGAGAAAUUGCAGUGUUUGGAGCAUUUGGCCAUGUAACCAAGCAUCAGCAGAGUAUUAAGGAGGCUUACUCUGAGUUUGUUCUGACCUACCUAGAGGAACUAAAUGAAAGAGGAGAUGACCCAGACAAAAAGCUGCAUUCACCAUUGGGCCUAGUCUUCAGUGCAUCAGGAGAUAGAAUCGGCAGCUCAGCUGAAGAGGUCACAGUAUUAAGCCAGAGGCAGGUUCUGCAAAAAAAUAUCAGCAAUCUCAAUCAGAAACAACUUUCAGGACCUUUGGACGCCCAUUUAAUGCCUGCAGAUCCCCUAGGGGAGACUACACAGCUGACAGUGGCACUGGUGAGGAAACUAGAAGAGAAACAUCCUAAGGCCUCAGCUCAAAGUGCCUCCUAACUAGUUCAGAACUCGUCCAGAUGAAGUUAAAGAAAGGGACUGAGCAUGUGAUACCAAUCAUUGCUCAUGACUGAUGUGUGAAAACUUUUUCUCUGGAUGCUAAUUGUGAGACCAUUCUGUGGUAAGGACAACUAAAUAAGCUAUGGUAGGCUCAAUAUAUUGAGUUUUGUAUGGGGAAAGCAAAGUACUGUGUAUAGACGUUUUUCUCUUUUUCUGAGAGUUUCAAAAAUAUGUUUGCUGUCAGAAAGGCUGAGGUUUUUAAUCUAGUAUGAGUGUGUAUAUUCUGGAAAACUAGAUUUGAGAAAAUAGGUAAGGAUGUUUCUUAUGGCUCAGUAAGGAUGCUGUCAAAGUUACCACUGGUAAAUAAACUUCACACAUAUUCAGCCUGGAAAUAAAAC